ACAACGGAAAACAAGGACGCUAAACAGUUCCUACCACAGCUACAACAGAUCACAUAAGCAGGGAGUAAACAACCAGAUCACCGUGGCCACAGCACCUUUUUUUCUGUCAGCUCUGCUUCGUCGUCCGUCCAGGUGAGUCCAGGUGCUGAAGGAUCAGGGAGCUCCAGCAGUGAGGGACCUUCAGGGAGGAGGAGUCCUUUAGGUCUGGAUCUGGAUGAACGGCUUGGGAUCUCAUUAAAAGUGGAAGAACUGAUCUUUUGAUUUCAUACCCUCUAAAUAUUAUCAGAGUUUGUGUGGUUUGGUUGAAAUGUUUUUUAUUAUUAUUAUAAACUGAAUUGUUUUUUCUUUACUUUUCUUUUGGUUUUCUGCUCUGCAGGUAUUGCUCCUGAUUUAUUUUUAUUUUUCUAACCUUAAACCUAAAUAAUUUUUCAAUUUUGGGACCAAAAAUAUACUGUUGGGGAAUUAUUUAGAGUUACUGGCAAUGAUUUGUGGGAAAAAUGGGCAACAUCUCUCAAACUGUUACUCGGAUUUUAACAUUUUUUACAUUUCUAGUGUAAAGUCAAACUUUUUUUAGUAUUAGAUUGGUGUUUUAUCUUAUAUCCUCUAAAAGUAAUAACAUUUGAUCCUAGCAUAUUAAAAUGUAUGGUUUAAAACUAUUUUUGUGUCCAAGACACUGUCUUUUUUGUUUCUAUUAUAGCUGUUUUGUGCUACUGUACAACUACAAAGAAUGGAUAUAAUUUAGUACUUUUCUCCUCAUAUCUGAAGUUUCAAUUAGUUCAUUUUGCUAAAUUAAAGCAAAACAAAAACUUUUAUUUCUUACUCUAGAUUUUUCUCUUUAGGCUUUUUUUUU